AUGUAUACAUACAUCCUUUUCGUUCACUGCUUUACAAAUUAUCAACAGAGCCCGGCGCGACGCAAAACGUCGGUGGCAGCGACGGCGCUGUGAGCGAGAGUAGUCGGACUGACUGACUGGCUGGACUGGACUGAACACGAACAUUAUUGCUGAUCCAGUCACACCCACGCUUGCUAAUACAUAGCAAACACCACGAUCUCGCUCACUGAGACGAAUUUCGUAGAAAACGAUUGUCGAACUUAACCGAUCAUAAACGAAUUAAUACGAUGGAUAAAAACAGAAAAAAAUGUUUGCUAUUUCAUUAGCCAUCCAUUUGUUGCGAAACAAGAGUGAAAUGUAAUAAACAAUCAUUAAUCAAUUGUACGGAAUUAAAAUUACGCUCAAUUGUGUUUAGAUAAGAAAACUGCGCAAGAUAAAUGCGCGGCGAAGACGAUGUUGGUAGCAGCGGCGUCAGCGGUGGCGGCGGCGGGUGCGGGCUUCCUCCGCUCGGGAUUGAUCGCACCCGUACUUCGAACCAGAGGCACGCGUAGCCUCCUGUGUCGUCAUGGAGACCGCCUGCCGUUGCUGCCGCCGUCGGAACGUCGCCAUGAUUACCGAGUCAAUGUGAUAUUUCGAUUAUAUUCAUACAUUAACUACUUGCGGUUUAAGUUACUGUCAUUAUUGAACCAAUAAACGAAUCAAUAUAAAUUGUUCAAACAGUAAGUUGUUUGCUUCACUACAAAUAAAAAUUUAGGACGAAUCACUUCAAUAUACCAUAGAAUGUAAAGGUAUUUUUUUUCUAAAUUUAAAAGAUGAUAUCUCUAAAUAACUGGAAUACAAGUAAUUAUGUAUUGUCUCACUUGGUGACAUAUACCUCUCAUGUCAUGUCAUUUUUUAUAUGUGAAAACAUGCAGCCAAAAGACAAUCUUAAAAUAUUGUAUACAAAGACCUUUUCAUUUAAUAAAAACAUCGGACGAGUAAA